UACGUAGGGGGCAAGCGUUGUCCGGAUUCAUUGGGCGUAAAGAGCUCGUAGGCGGUUCAGCAAGUCGGGUGUGAAACCUCCAGGCUCAACCUGGAGACGCCACCCGAUACUGCUGUGACUUGAGUCCGGUAGGGGACCACGGAAUUCCUGGUGUAGCGGUGAAAUGCGCAGAUAUCAGGAGGAACACCGGUGGCGAAGGCGGUGGUCUGGGCCGGAACUGACGCUGAGGAGCGAAAGCGUGGGGAGCGAACCGG
rnacentral:rRNA from 1 species